CUAGAAUAUUUUAUACAUAAUCCUAUUGCAUGCAGCCUUGCUUCAGGAAUAUUCUAGAGGUGGCACCUGCAAUCAAAGCCUCCUCCUGCUCACUGUCAGUAGUUCAGCUUUCUGUUCUGAGAGCCCAGACUUCCAGAUACUAGUCCUGAAGAGAAUAAAUUCUUCGAAGCUCACCUGCAGAUUUCUUUUCUUGAGCACUACCCCUUCAUCCCUCCUUCCAUAUGUGAGAUCCCCAGGGCUGGGAUAAAGGUGAAGUGAGCAAGUCAUCUAGGACA
rnacentral:lncRNA from 1 species